rnacentral:rRNA from 1 species
UACGUAGGGUGCAAGCGUUAAUCGGAAUUACUCGGCGUAAAGCGUGCGCAGGCGGUUUUGUAAGUUUGAUGUGAAAUCCCCGGGCUCAACCUGGGAAUUGCGAUGGAGACUGCAAGGCUUGAAUCUGGCAGAGGGGGGUAGAAUUCCACGUGUAGCAGUGAAAUGCGUAGAGAUGUGGAGGAACACCGAUGGCGAAGGCAGCCCCCUGGGUCAAGAUUGACGCUCAUGCACGAAAGCGUGGGGAGCGAACAGG